UAACUCCGGUUGAUCCUGCCGGACCCCACUGCUAUCGGGGUGGGACUAAGACAUGCUAGUCGUGCGCCUCCAAGCCAUGGUGGAGGCGCGGCGCACAGCUCAGUAACACGUGGCUAACCUGCCCUUGGGACGGGGAUAACCCCGGGAAACUGGGGCUAAUACCCGAUAGGCGAGGACUCCUGGAAUGGGUCUUCGCCAAAAGGGCGCCUGGACCAUGCUCUAGGCGCCGCCCAAGGAUGGGGCCGCGGCCGAUCAGGUAGUUGGUGAGGUAACGGCUCACCAAGCCUAUAACCGGUACGGGCCGUGAGAGCGGGAGCCCGGAGAUGGGCCCUGAGACAAGGGCCCAGGCCCUACGGGGCGCAGCAGGCGCGAAACCUCCGCUAUGCG
rnacentral:rRNA from 1 species